rnacentral:rRNA from 1 species
AUUGAACGCUGGCGGCAUGCCUUACACAUGCAAGUCGAACGGCAGCACGGGAGCAAUCCUGGUGGCGAGUGGCGAACGGGUGAGUAAUAUAUCGGAACGUGCCCAGUAGUGGGGGAUAACUGCUCGAAAGAGCAGCUAAUACCGCAUACGACCUGAGGGUGAAAGGGGGGGAUCGCAAGACCUCUCGCUAUUGGAGCGGCCGAUAUCAGAUUAGGUAGUUGGUGGGGUAAAGGCCUACUAAGGCAACGAUCUGUAGUUGGUCUGAGAGGACGACCAGCCACACUGGGACUGAGACACGGCCCAGACUCCUACGGGAGGCAGCAGUGGGGAAUUUUGGACAAUGGGCGCAAGCCUGAUCCAGCAAUGCCGCGUGCAGGAAGAAGGCCUUCGGGUUGUAAACUGCUUUUGUCAGGGAAGAAAUCCUCUAGGUUAAUACCCUUGGGGGGAUGACGGUACCUGAAGAAUAAGCACCGGCUAACUACGUGCCAGCAGCCGCAGUAACAC